AUGUCUUCCUAUCAUCCUGCGUCCGUGAGGCCUGCACAGUCGGUCACGAAGCAGUCCAAGUCACAUGCAUCGAAGCCCCCACCUUCAUCGACAAAGUCAGGUGCACCGAAGCAGCCACACUCGUCGGCAGAUAACAAACUGUUGAAAGGUCUUCGUAAGAAGAUGAUCGGCGAAGAGAGGCCACGGUUUGUGAAGCCUUACGUCUUGUACACCAUUGGCAAGUUGGUUUGCCCAACGACACAACCCUAUGUUAAUCCCAAAUAUUUGGGAAUUGUUAUCGACAUGCAUACUAUAAACUCCAUAAAUUAUGCUAAACUAUCUCUUGACCACUUAAUGUCAAGUGUGACUGUGUGA
rnacentral:rRNA from 1 species